CGCCUCUUGCCCAAUAAGUAUAAGAGGUCUCGCCUGCCCUGUGACUAUUAGUUUAACGGCCGCGGUAUUUUAACCGUGCGAAGGUAGCGUAAUCACUUGUCUUUUAAAUGUGGACCUGUAUGAACGGCAUCACGAGGGCUUAACUGUCUCCCCUCUCCAGUCAAUGAAAUUAACCUCCCCGUGCAGAGGCGGGGAUAAGAAUAUAAGACGAGAAGACCCUGUGGAGCUUUAAACCUAAGACAAACCAUUCCUAGUAAGCUGUGAUACCAGUAUUAAGACUAGUGGUUUUUGUUGAAGUGUUUUUGGUUGGGGUGACCAUGGGGAAAAACACAACCCCCACGUGGACCGGGGAUAUUAUCCCUAACACUGAGAGCCCACACUCCAAGUAACAGAACUUCUGACCUUUAUGAUCCGGUAUUACCGAUCAACGGACCCAGUUACCCCAGGGAUAACAGCGCAAUCCCCUCUGAGAGCCCCUAUCGACGAGGGGGUUUACGACCUCGAUGUUGGAUCAGGACAUCCUAAUGGUGCAGCCGCUAUUAAGGGUUCGUUUGUUCAACGAUUAAAGUCCU
rnacentral:rRNA from 1 species